UCCUGGGCUCCAGAAGCUAUAGGAGCCGCUGUGAGCGACAGGCACGGGGCUGGUGACGUCAUCCAGGCGAGAGAGGCGGGCUUCGGCCGGUGGGCGGGAGGUUGCCAACGGUUUUGAGCGUAGGGAAGGGCGCGAGAGCGGGGGGUCUUGGUCUUCCUGGACCAGGACUCAGGGGUUGGGGGCAAUACCUUGUCCCCACCUUGGCAAAUUGGGGGGCUGAGGACUGCAAAUGUGGAGAGUCAUCGGAACGGGGUGGUCGGGGUGGAGGAUCUCGGUCUAGGCUUGAGGGCGGCGUGCUUUUUAGGGCCGUCUGAGGGCGUGGCUGAGUGUUCACAAGGUUUCUUAGGGGUUGGUAGGGAGUCUAGGGAGGUUUUGCUAUGGCUUUCUUCCAGGAGGGGUCGGAGGGGAUAUACAAGAGAGUUGACGCUAGGUAGGAGGGGGUGUGGGGAGGUGGGGAACGUGAGGUUCCUGCCUCUCUGAGACUGGAGCCAGUUGAGGGGCACAUAAAGCAGCUGGACGGAGGUUAGGCCCCUAUUGGAUUUGAAUACGUUUCAGUUAGCACGUUCUGAGUGUGAGAACUGCUCAUAGUUGACUAGUGAUAGCCUGUGCUAGAAGUUGGUCUGCAGCUUUCAGCACUCCAGAGGAAUUGCAGUGGUGCUGUUGCCCCGCAGUUGGUCUUCUGUGCCCAGCCCGUCCUUGCGGCACCCUUCUUUUCCACUGUUCCCAGGAGCUGUGGAAAGAAAUGCUUUUGCCUUCUCCCAUGGCCUCUGGAACCAGUGGAAACCUUUUCUCUAACCAGAAAGCCUCCAUACCCUUAUUCACCAAGAAUCCUUGGCUUGGAGUCUUCCUCCUUUCUCCGAAAUCUUCCUUCUCCGUGUACUUUUUCUCCUGGGCUCUCCUAAAGCAGAACCAGGAAUUCCCAGCUCUGUUGUUUCCAGUUGUCUCUUCCCUGUACUCAUGGCAACAUCAGCUACCAGCCCCAGUUCACCUCUCCGGGCGGAAGAUCUCCUGAGUGAUUCAUCAGAAGCUCCUAGGCUGAACCAGGUGUCCUCUGAGGUGACCUCCCAGCUCUAUGCUUCUUUGCACCUCAGUCGUCAGGCGGAGGCCACAGCCCGAGCCCAGCUGUAUUUACCCUCCACCUCCCCACCUCUAGACGCCUUGGCCCAAGAGCUGAGUCACAGCUUGUCAGUUGGAUUGGAGAACAACUUGAAGAAAAAGGAUGGUUCCAGGCAUAUCUUUGAGAUGGAAAGUGUCCGGGGUCAGCUCCAGAGCAUGCUCCAAACCUCACGUGAAACAGCCUAUCGGGAUCCCCUUACCCCAGGUGCUGGCUCAGAGAGACGGGAAGAGGACUCCUUUGACAGUGACAGCACAGCCACCUUGCUUAACACCCGGCCCCUGCAAGACUUGUCUCCAUCUAGCUCAGCCCAAGCCCUGGAGGAGUUGUUUCCCCGCUACACCAGCCUUCGGCCAGGGCCCCCACUCAAUCCCCCGGAUUUUCAGGGCCUGAGAGAUGCACUGGAUUCAGAGCAUACCCGUCGCAAGCACUGUGAGCGCCAUAUUCAGAGCCUACAGACUCGAGUGCUAGAGCUACAGCAACAGUUAGCUGUGGCUGUGACUGCUGACCGCAAGAAAGAUAUCAUGAUCGAACAACUGGACAAGACCCUGGCCCGAGUGGUGGAGGGCUGGAACCGGCAUGAAGCUGAACGGACAGAGGUGCUUCGGGGACUCCAGGAGGAGCGCCAGGCAGCUGAACUCACUAGAAGCAAACAGCAAGAGACGGUAACCCGCCUGGAACAAAGCCUUUCUGAGGCCAUGGAGGCCCUGAAUCGUGAACAGGAAGGUGCCAGACUGCAGCAACGGGAAAGAGAGACGCUGGAAGAGGAAAGGCAAGCUCUGACCCUGAGCUUGGAGCUAGAACAGCAGCGGUGCCGGGCCCUGCAGGAUGAACGGGAUGAGGCUCGGGCUGGGCAACGCAGCGAGCAUCGCCAGUUGGAGACACUUCAGGUUGCCCUAGAAGAAGAACGGCAGGCCCGGGCCCAGCAAGAGCACCAGCUUAAGGAACACUACCAGGCACUGCAGGAGGAGGGCCAGGCUCAGCUGGAACGGGAGAAGGGGAACACCCAGAGGGAGGCCCAGGCAGCCCGGGAGGCCCAGCAACAGUUGGCAUUGGUGCAGUCUGAGGUGCGGCGGUUGGAAGGAGAGCUGGAUACAGCUCGGAGAGAGAGAGAUGCCUUGCAACUGGAAAUGAGCUUGGUGCAGGCCCGGUAUGAAAGCCAGCGGAUCCAGAUGGAAUCUGAGCUGGCUAUGCAGCUAGAGCAGCGGGUGACAGAGCAGCUGGCACAGGCUCAGGAGAGCAGCCUGCGGCAAGCAGCCUCCCUGAGGGAACAUCACAGGAAGCAGCUGCAGGACCUAAAUGAAGAGCACCAGCAGGAGUUGUCCACUCACUUGGCUCAGUUCAAGGUGGAAAUGGCAGAACGAGAGGAAAGGCAGCAGCAGGUGGCUCAGGACUAUGAGCUCAGACUGGCCCGGGAGCACGCGCGCGUGCGGGAACUGCAGAGCAGGAGCCGGCAGCUGGAGGAACAGCGGCUGGAGCUGGUCGAGCGGCUCCAAGCCAUGCUGCAGGCCCACUGGGAGGAGGCAAACCAGCUGCUGAGCACCACCACCCUGCCUCCUAACCCCCCAGUUCCUACCACCAGCCCCUCCAGCCCUGGGCCUCAGGAACCAGAGAAGGGGGAGAGGAGGAUCCGGGCUGUGCCUCCCGUGGCUGUGGCCCUGAAGCCUAUAUUGCAGCAGAGCCGGGAAGCAAGGGACGAGCUGCCUGGAGUGCCGCCUGUUCUCUGCAGCUCUUCCCCAGAUCUUAGCCUUCUGCUGGGCCCCACUUUCCAGAGCCAACAUUCCUUCCAGCCCCUGGAGCCAAAGCCAGAUCUUACUUCAUCCUCAGCUGGGGCCUUCUCUGCAGUUGGGGGCUUCCAUCCCGAUCACAGGGCAGAACGGCCAUUCCCUGAGGAAGAUCCUGGAUCUGAUGGGGAUGGCUUCCUAAAGCAAGGGCUGCCACCUCCUUCUCAGCUGGAGGGCCUCAAGCAUUUUUUGCACCAACUGCUGGAGACAGUACCCCAGAACAACGAGAACUCCUCUGUUGACCUGUUGCCCCCUAAGUCUGGUCCUCUGACUGCUCCAUCUUGGGAGGAAGCCCCUCAAGUGCCACGCCUGCCACCCCCUGUCCAUAAAACUAAAGUGCCCUUAGCCAUGGCGUCUAGUCUUUUCCGGGUCCAUGAACUUCCCUCAACCCAUUCACAGAGCACUGGUCCAAGUGGUGGCUCCCCAGAGAGAGGUGGAGAUGGGCUCGCAUCCUCGAGGCAGCUGAUGGAGGUGUCUCAGCUAUUACGACUAUACCAAGCUCGGGGCUGGGGGGCACUGCCUGCUGAGGAUCUGCUGCUCUACCUGAAGAGGCUGGAACACAGCAGGGCUGACAGCCAAGGCGAUAAUGUCCCCAGAAGGAAUACAGACUCCCGCUUGGGUGAGAUCCCUCGGAAAGAGAUUUAAAGAAAACUUUUUCUCUUUUCUGCUGAGCUAGCUGUGACUUAUAGCAGUUUGGUAAAUGAUACUUUUGACAUGAUUGAAAACAUUGGUUAUAUGACCAAGGCUGUGACUGGAACAUUGUAUUUGCGAUAUAACCAUACAGCUUUUGAGGAAUGAAGAUUGGACUUCAUGGAGUAAAGCCACGUGGAAAUAUUGGCCUGGUACCUUAUGUUCCAAACAGCACUUACUGCAUAAGUAAGGAAUGUCACUUAUCUGGCAGGUACAAGGAACCUUGAAAUAUUUGGAGGGAACCUCAAGAAGAGAGGAAUUCACCCAAAUCUGUAGGUAUUGCAGGCAAAGUCUGAUGAUGAAAGUCCUUGGCUUGGCUUUCCUGGCCUGGAGAGGCCUUUGAAGUUCAGGCUGAGAUUCCUUACAAAAAGUUCCAGCAAAGCACAUUUAAAAGAGCCUAUAUAAUCAAUUGCUAUUCUUGCUGUACUUCUGUAAAUAAUUGGGCCAAAUUUAUUAAACCUAGACUUAUAUUGCAAACUAGUUAGUCUUGAUUUGGCUACCUUUGAUUAAAAAAUGAGAGUGAUUUUAGAGAGAAAAAUUGUUUCAAUGGAAACUAUAGUAUACAUUUAUGGAUAUUAGAUCCUAGUUUUGUUAAUUUGAGGCUUUUGUUUUGUAUCUGUUGACUGGACUAGAUCCUGAUUUCUUCUAGUCUCCUGAAAUAUCUGGCUACAGAUCUCCAAACUAAUGUUUUUUAUUUUUUUCCAUCAUUUUCAUUUGGAAUCACUGAGACCUAAACCUGCCCUUUUUCCUGAAGCCUUACAAACUGAAGCUGAUGAACUUAAUAUAAACUUGAGAGAUUACCCAAUGACAUCAUCAGAGACAUUUUAAACUGCAAAAGAUGCUUUAACAGCCCACCUGCAUCACCACCUUCUAAGAUGAACUUAACUGACUGGUUUAUUAUUAAGAUCAAGAAAUGUGUUCAGUGAGAUGAAACAAUCUACCAACGCAGCUUCUGGACUAUGAAACUUUUUAAGUUUCAAAAGGACUGUGAAACUUUUAGUUUCAAAGGCGGAACUGUGGGAGAUCAAAAUUGGCCACCCUGAAAUAUGUCUCUUUACCUUCAUUAUUUUCUCUGAUGGACAUUUGACCUCCCCCAAACUGCCUAAAUAAUUUAACAUAGAAGGCCUGUUUCAGGAAGGAGCUACUAUCAUAUGAUGGCUGUAAUAUAAUGUAAAAUAGAUGUUACAAUACGAAAGGCACCAACAAGCCCAUCUUAUCAAAAAUUCUGUCUCUCCCAGGCCACAUUCCCUAGAUGGCCCUGCAAAGAGUUACCAGACAAAUAUUUACAUUUAUAAGGGAAAUCUCCAUUUGUAAAGAUAUCUCUCUCUCUGUAUUUGGAAGAGGGGAGGAUGGCCUAUCUGUGGAAACUCUUAUCAGGAGAGGACUUAAAUCUGCGCACUCUUGAUUACUGUAGUUUCUGUCUCUCUCCCCACCCCCAACAUCCUCCUUUGUCUUUAGCUGAAGAUGGUAUUUAAGAUGAGAAUCGCUGCUAUUGUGUUGAGAAACUCAGUUUCCCUGGUUUCUCCCAUGUAUACAUGUUGUUAAACAUGGUAUUAUUUUCUCCUGCUAACCUGUCUUUUAAUUAUUUGGCCAGCCAUAAGAACUUUAAGGGAAAGGGCAGAGGGGGAAUUCUCCCUCUUCCCCGAAACUUCAAGGUUCAUCCUUAUAGCUUGUAUCAGUACUUCAUUUCUCUUUAUGGCUGAAUAAUAUUCCAUUGUAUGGAUAUACCACCUUUUGUUUAUCUACUCAUCAGUAAUGGACAUUUGGAUUGUUUCCACUUUUGGGCUAUUGUGAAUAAUACUGCUAUGGAUAUUUGCAUAUAACUUUGUAUGUGGACAUGUGUUUUCAUAUACCCAGGAUUGAAAUUGCUGGGUCAUAUAGUAAUUCUAUGUUUAACCUUUUGAGGAAUUGCCAGACUGUUUCCAAAGCAGCUGUACCAUUUUACAUUCCCACUAGCAGUGUAUGAGGGUUCCAAUUUCUCAACAACCUCACCAACACUUAUUAUAAUCUGUUUGAUUAUAGCCAACCUAGUGGGUGUAAAGUGAUAUCUCAUUGUGGUUUUGAUUUGCAUUUCCCUGAUGGCUAAUAAUGUUGAGCAUCUUUUCAUGUGCUUAUUGACCAUCUGUAUAUCUUCUUUAGAGAAAUGUCUAUUCAGAUCCUUUGCCCAUUUUAAAAUUGGGUUAUUUGUCUUUUUAUUAUUGAGUCAUAUCACGAAAAUUUAAAAACAACAAACUGCUAAUUUCCUGAGCUGCCCGGAUGCUGACUUCUUACUCAUUUCCAAACCUGCUUUUGAAUGAAACCAGACUUUUUUUCCUUAGAAUUGCAUUUCAACAUUCAUGUGAAGAGAACAUAAGCAAGUUUAAAAACAGAAGUUUCCUCUGCCCUCAGCUGGCCAAGACAGGGGAAGGAAAGAAAAGCAAUGUUCCAUAGGAUCAUUUAAAGAAAUGGUGCUUAAAAGGUGUCAGUUGGUUCUCGACUUUUUAAACAAAAACUGUGAAUGUCUUAUAGCCUCAGCUCAGAGAGCCCCAGGCAGAGACAGGGACUAGAUGAAUGGCAUGGAGAGUCGAUCUUUGACUCAAUUAGACUGAAUCAAUCUUGUCAUUGAGUUCCCAAGGAAAUUCAAUUACAGGUCAAGUGUAAGAAGCCCAGUAAUUGUGGUUUAAGCAGCAGAAAUGACAAGUGAUCGAUAGCAGCCUGGGGAUGAGUUUGACUUCAAGGCCCCUCAAUCCGUAGUAGAAGAAAAGGCAGGAGAGCUGCAGAGUGGAAGAGGCUUGUGGAGUUGGAGAACCAACGACUGAAAGGUUUACCCCAAGCCAAGGGGACACAGGACAGACAGGGCACUGGAAAUGGCACUGCCACCCAUGCCUGCGUACCCAGUCACUGACCUCACUGUGGAGACUCAUGGGGCAGAAGGGCUCAUGGUUGGGACCACCAGGCUGGGUUAGGAGCCUCCAGCACCUGUGUCUCCAGCUGAGUGUAGUUGCAUGUGACCAGAAACUCUACUACCCAGGCCAAGGUCAGAGGCUGGGGCUGCAAGAAGUGAGCUCUGUGGGGAGAGCAAAAAGUCAUGACGUGGGACUAGAGACAAUGCCUGAGAGAAAGUGCCUCUAGGGAUCCCUUUUCUCUGUUAAAGGAAGUAUGAGAUUCAUGGAAGUAACUACUCCCUCUAGUGGUGACACAAAUAUUGCAAGAGGGGCUUUGUAGCUGAGUCAAAAUUCAAAAGC